rnacentral:rRNA from 1 species
UACGUAGGUGGCAAGCGUUGUCCGGAAUUAUUGGGCGUAAAGCGCGCGCAGGCGGUUUCUUAAGUCUGAUGUGAAAGCCCACGGCUCAACCGUGGAAGGUCAUUGGAAACUGGGGAACUUGAGUGCAGAGGAGAAGAGCGGAAUUCCACGUGUAGCGGUGAAAUGCGUAGAGAUGUGGAGGAACACCAGUGGCGAAGGCGGCUCUUUGGUCUGUAACUGACGCUGAGGCGCGAAAGCGUGGGGAGCGAACAGG